rnacentral:rRNA from 1 species
ACGCUGGCGGCGUGCCUAAUACAUGCAAGUCGAGCGAACGGACGAGAAGCUUGCUUCUCUGAUGUUAGCGGCGGACGGGUGAGUAACACGUGGAUAACCUACCUAUAAGACUGGGAUAACUUCGGGAAACCGGAGCUAAUACCGGAUAAUAUUUUGAACCGCAUGGUUCAAAAGUGAAAGACGGUCUUGCUGUCACUUAUAGAUGGAUCCGCGCUGCAUUAGCUAGUUGGUAAGGUAACGGCUUACCAAGGCAACGAUGCAUAGCCGACCUGAGAGGGUGAUCGGCCACACUGGAACUGAGACACGGUCCAGACUCCUACGGGAGGCAGCAGUAGGGAAUCUUCCGCAAUGGGCGAAAGCCUGACGGAGCAACGCCGCGUGAGUGAUGAAGGUCUUCGGAUCGUAAAACUCUGUUAUUAGGGAAGAACAUAUGUGUAAGUAACUGUGCACAUCUUGACGGUACCUAAUCAGAAAGCCACGGCUAACUACGUGCCAGCAGCCGCGGUAAUACGUAGGUGGCAAGCGUUAUCCGGAAUUAUUGGGCGUAAAGCGCGCGUAGGCGGUUUUUUAAGUCUGAUGUGAAAGCCCACGGCUCAACCGUGGAGGGUCAUUGGAAACUGGAAAACUUGAGUGCAGAAGAGGAAAGUGGAAUUCCAUGUGUAGCGGUGAAAUGCGCAGAGAUAUGGAGGAACACCAGUGGCGAAGGCGACUUUCUGGUCUGUAACUGACGCUGAUGUGCGAAAGCGUGGGGAUCAAACAGGAUUAGAUACCCUGGUAGUCCACGCCGUAAACGAUGAGUGCUAAGUGUUAGGGGGUUUCCGCCCCUUAGUGCUGCAGCUAACGCAUUAAGCACUCCGCCUGGGGAGUACGACCGCAAGGUUGAAACUCAAAGGAAUUGACGGGGACCCGCACAAGCGGUGGAGCAUGUGGUUUAAUUCGAAGCAACGCGAAGAACCUUACCAAAUCUUGACAUCCUUUGACAACUCUAGAGAUAGAGCUUUCCCCUUCGGGGGACAAAGUGACAGGUGGUGCAUGGUUGUCGUCAGCUCGUGUCGUGAGAUGUUGGGUUAAGUCCCGCAACGAGCGCAACCCUUAAGCUUAGUUGCCAUCAUUAAGUUGGGCACUCUAAGUUGACUGCCGGUGACAAACCGGAGGAAGGUGGGGAUGACGUCAAAUCAUCAUGCCCCUUAUGAUUUGGGCUACACACGUGCUACAAUGGACAAUACAAAGGGCAGCGAAACCGCGAGGUCAAGCAAAUCCCAUAAAGUUGUUCUCAGUUCGGAUUGUAGUCUGCAACUCGACUACAUGAAGCUGGAAUCGCUAGUAAUCGUAGAUCAGCAUGCUACGGUGAAUACGUUCCC